CUGCAACGGGAGGAGCNUGCGGUUUAAUUGGAUUCAACGCCGGAAAACUCACCAGAGCCGACUGUCAGAUGAAAGCCAGCGUAAAUGAGCUUGCUGGAUUGUCAGAGAGGUGGUGCAUGGCCGUCGUCAGUUCGUACCGUAAGGCGUUCUGUUAAGUCAGAUAACGAACGAGACCCUCAUCCUCAUUUGCUAACCCAGUCGCAAGAUUGGGUGCACUAUGGGGAGACCGCUUGAUGUGAAAUCAGAGGAAGGUGAGGGCAACGGUAGGUCAGUAUGCCCCGAAUGCUCUGGGCUACACGCGCGCUACAAAGGACGGGACAAUGGGAGGCCACGCCGAGAGGCGGAGCUAUCCCGAAACCCGUUCAUAGUUCGGAUUGAGGGCUGUAACUCGCCCUCAUGAAGCUGGAUUCCGUAGUAAUCGUGUUUCAAAAUAGCACGGUGAAUAUGCCCCUGCUCCUUGCACACACCGCCCGUCAAACCAUCUUAGUUGGGGGUGGGUGAGGCUACGUUUUUUUGGCGUAUUCGAGCCUGUCUUCGACAAGGAGGGUUAAGUCGUAACAAGGUA
rnacentral:rRNA from 1 species